rnacentral:rRNA from 1 species
GAUGAACGCUGGCGGCGUGCCUAAUACAUGCCAGUCGAGCGAACAGACGAGGAGCUUGCUCCUUUGACGUUAGCGGCGGACGGGUGAGUAACACGUAGGUAACCUACCUAUAAGACUGGGAUAACUUCGGGAAACCGGAGCUAAUACCGGAUAAUAUUUCGAACCGCAUGGUUCGAUAGUGAAAGAUGGCUUUGCUAUCACUUAUAGAUGGACCUGCGCCGUAUUAGCUAGUUGGUAAGGUAACGGCUUACCAAGGCAACGAUACGUAGCCGACCUGAGAGGGUGAUCGGCCACACUGGAACUGAGACACGGUCCAGACUCCUACGGGAGGCAGCAGUAGGGAAUCUUCCGCAAUGGGCGAAAGCCUGACGGAGCAACGCCGCGUGAGUGAUGAAGGUCUUCGAAUCGUAAAACUCUGUUAUUAGGGAAGAACAAACGUGUAAGUAACUGUGCACGUCUUGACGGUACCUAAUCAGAAAGCCACGGCUAACUACGUG